rnacentral:rRNA from 1 species
UAGGGAAUCUUCCACAAUGGACGCAAGUCUGAUGGAGCAACGCCGCGUGAGUGAAGAAGGCUUUCGGGUCGUAAAACUCUGUUAUUGAAGAAGAACGUGUGUGACAGUAACUGGUCAUGCAGUGACGGUAUUCAAUCAGAAAGUCACGGCUAACUACGUGCCAGCAGCCGCGGUAAUACGUAGGUGGCAAGCGUUGUCCGGAUUUAUUGGGCGUAAAGCGAGUGCAGGCGGUCUUUUAAGUCUGAUGUGAAAAGCCUUCGGCUUAACCGAAGAAGGGCAUCG